UGAGGAAUAUUGGUCAAUGGGCGAGAGCCUGAACCAGCCAAGUAGCGUGCAGGAUGACGGCCCUAUGGGUUGUAAACUGCUUUUAUGUGGGGAUAAAGUGCGUGACGUGUCAUGCAUUGCAGGUACCACAUGAAUAAGGACCGGCUAAUUCCGUGCCAGCAGCCGCGGUAAUACGGAAGGUCCGGGCGUUAUCCGGAUUUAUUGGGUUUAAAGGGAGCGUAGGCUGUCUAUUAAGCGUGUUGGGAAAUUUACCGGCUCAACCGGUGGCUUGCAGCGCGAACUGGUCGACUUGAGUAUGCAGGAAGUAGGCGGAAUUCAUGGGGUGGCGGUGAAAUGCUUAGAUAUCAUGACGAACUCCGAUUGCGCAGGCAGCUUACUGUAGCAUAACUGACGCUGAUGCUCGAAAGUGCGGGUAUCAAACAGG
rnacentral:rRNA from 1 species